CCUACGGGUGGCAGCAGUGGGGAAUAUUGGGCAAUGGGCGCAAGCCUGACCCAGCAAUGCCGCGUGAAGGAAGAAGGCUUUCGGGUUGUAAACUUCUUUGACAGGGGAAGAGCAGAAGACGGUACCCUGAAAACAAGCCACGGCUAACUACGUGCCAGCAGCCGCGGUAAUACGUAGGUGGCAAGCGUUGUCCGGAUUUACUGGGUGUAAAGGGCGUGUAGCCGGGAAGGCAAGUCAGAUGUGAAAUCUGGAGGCUCAACCUCCAAAUUGCAGUUGAAACUGUUUUUCUUGAGUACUGGAGAGGCAGACGGAAUUCCUUGUGUAGCGGUGAAAUGCAUAGAUAUCACACAGAACACCGAGUGCGAAGGCAUCUCACGAAUCCGCGAUUGACGCUGAUGCACGAAAGCGUGGGUAUCAAACAGGAUUAGAUACCCCAGUAGUC
rnacentral:rRNA from 1 species